CCUACGGGAGGCAGCAGUGAGGAAUAUUGGUCAAUGGGCGCGAGCCUGAACCAGCCAAGUCGCGUGAGGGAUGACGGUCCUACGGAUUGUAAACCUCUUUUGCCGGGGAGCAAGCGUGCGUUCGUGAACGCGGGUCGAGAGUACCCGGAGAAAAAGCAUCGGCUAACGCCGUGCCAGCAGCCGCGGUAAUACGGAGGAUGCGAGCGUUAUCCGGAUUUAUUGGGGUUAAAGGGGGCGUAGGCGGGAUGCUAAGUCAGGGGUAAAAAUGGGGUGUUUAACGCCGUCGAGCCGUUGAAACUGGCGUUCUUGAGUGGGCGAGAAGUAUGCGGCAUGCGUGGUGUAGCGGUGGAAUGCAUAGAUAUCAC
rnacentral:rRNA from 1 species